CAGGUGAGGGGGUAGCAAAGACGACAAUAAUAGAGUGUGUUUCCAACAAGAAAGCGAACAGGUACUUGCUUGAAAGCAACCUACAAGAAGUGAGCCGGAUUUCCUGAUGUUCGUAAAAAAUAACUGAAAACGAAUAAAAUAAUUUAAAUUGAUUUCUGUAAUAAAUAUUUUUGAGUGAGUGACUCUAUUUCUCGCUAGCUGGAUAAAAUCAAAAUCUGCUUGACAAUCUGUGAAAACAUGUCGAUUGGGUAUUUUUACUCUAACAGGAUCCAUCUAGUGCGCAUCGAGUUACGGGACGUAACAAAUUAUUUAAAGCCUGAUAAGAGUUUUCGUGACUUUGUUUUUUUUUUCGCAGAAAUCCACCAGGGCGAAAAGAAUCCAAUCGAAAAUCAAGUGCCGUUCGGCCUCCCGUGGUUUUUGUUUUGCGCUGUGUUGUGUAUCUCCAUGUGUUUAAGUCUGCAUUAAGCAUAGCGCGUAUACGAUCAGACAUUAUAACUAUUACAAUACAAUUUUCUGUGAACUCUCGUGAAUAUACUUAGUAUUUGUACUGUUGAACUACUUAUUUCCAAAUAAAUUUCUUUUCAUAUUUCCGGCAA